AGCACCUUAAAGGAGCCAGACUGACGAGGUUGGCUGUGCCCCUCUUGAUUGUCAUGCAGCAUCCUGUACACAUCAGACUGAGGCACUGAGUUAAGCAUUGGAAAUGGGCCAUUACCUAACUUUACUCUCAAAACAGCUGCAACCUCUCCAAGUUGGCAAUCAAGUCACCUUCUACUCUUGGAUCUACUUUACAAAAUAACAAUUCUCAAGUGGAUGCUGAGCAAAAGCAAAUGAAGCUUGUCAAAAGUUCUGGACUUCUGAAAACCAGACCAUAUAGAUAGCGUUUGGGCUUUUGAUGCUGCUGACUUAUUCAUUCCUGUUUAACUACCUCUCUGUCCGGAGUUCCUCUUCUCUCCCGUGGAGUA